rnacentral:rRNA from 1 species
CAGAAUGCUGCGGUGAAUGCGUUCCCGGGUCUUGUACACACCGCCCGUCACACCACGGGAGUUGGAGACGCCCGAAGCCGAUUAUCUAACCUUUUGGAAGAAGUCGUCGAAGGUGGAAUCAAUAACUGGGGUGAAGUCGUAACAAGGUAGCCGUAUCGGAAGGGGCGGCUGGAUCACCUCCUUUCUAAGGAGA